rnacentral:lncRNA from 1 species
AGUUUUUCAACAAUUAUCAGAGUUUAUAACUUUUCAAUGUUACAAUCAAUAUCAACAAAUAUAGUGUAAGUUGAAAGGAUUACUAAACCUUCUUUGUUUCCUUUAGUCAUUUUCACUAUCUUCGCUCUUCUCUUCCGCUUCCACACCUAAGUACAUAGCACAAACUAUGUAAGUCUGAAGACUCAUGAGUUACAUGAGUUUUUAACUCAACUUUGAUUUAUUAUUAAGGAAUUUUACUUUGUUUUGUAGAGACUUUAUCACAUAAAGUCCUAACAAAAAUGAUCCUAGCACAUAGGGCCAUGGAAAAACAAAUCAAUCGGAGGCUAGUAGGAACCAUGUCCAUCCCGAUGUUGAAUCACUGUUGCCUGAUACCCUACUUCCUCAUUAAGCCCAUGUUGCUUCACGCAAGCCUGCCACCAUAAAUCUCAUCAAAUUCAUGCCGCUACAUGGAAACAUGCAACUGUGAAUCUCAUCAGACCCAUGUUGUUACGUGAAAUCCUGGAACUGUGAAUCUCAUCAGAUCUAUGCCGCUACAUGAAAGCCUGCAACUAUGAACCUCGCCCGAUCCAUGCCGCUACAUGAAAUUCUGACACUAUAAACUUGUAAGGCAAUCUAAUCCUUUCACGAACGCUCUCUAUAAAGCUUCAAACUUUCUUUAUAUAGUUUGUUCUUUUUAUCAUUCUCUACAAUAUAGAGGCAUAUGACGACAUCUAUUUCAUGUAGCUUUUCAUUAAGCUUUUAGCACAAAUUCACACUCAAAACAUUUAUCAUACAACUUUCCCCGCAAAGCUCAUAAUAAAUGUAUACACAUAUAAGCUUCUUGCCUAUAUAGCAAAUAACCAAACAUACAGGCAUCUUGCCAGUGACUCAUCUAGUCCUAUGCAUAGUGUAAGUCCAUCCUACGAGCCAUGUAGUGUCGCAAUAUUUGUUGACUUUUGUUAACUUUUCUUUAAUGAUAAUGUACAACCUAUCUCAACUUUCGAUGACCAUAACUUUCUUCUACGAACUUAGAUUUUAACGGUCUUUAUAUCCGUGAAACCGUCACGGGUCGAACUACGAAUUUCUUUUAAUAAGCAUUUGCUAAUAACUUAUACAUUUUUCAUUAGUCAUUUUCUUUAAAAGUAACAAUUUUUCAGUCGUUACACUCAGGCUAUAUAGAUUUAGGUCCCGUUUGAUAGUUGCUGACUGAGAAAUAGCUAACUCGGAAAUGUCUGUCUGGGUAAGAAAUUUCGACCGAGUAAGAAACUAUGUUGUUUGAUUGUACAUCUGACUGAAAAAAAUGACCAUUUAACCCUUCUUCUAUAUACAAUGAUGAAUGAAGUUGCUGAAAAAUUUAAAAAACAUACAAAUUGUCAUAUAAAAUGUAAAUUACACACAAAUCCUUUAAAAUUCCAAAUAAAAAUUAUAAAAGACAUCAUUGUUUUUAUAAAGUUAUAUGAUAUGUAUUUCAAAAUGAGAAAUGAAUUUUAAAGGAAUAGAAAUUUACAUGAUAUGUAGACGUACAAUUGGUUUUCAUUGCGCAAUCUAUCAAACACAUGCUAUACAUUAAGAUGAUUAAAUAUAAAAGAAAUCCAUGUGUAAUAAAUCAACUAAAUGUGAACCAGUCAUGCAUAUUGAAAUCAAGAAUAAAGAAAUAGUUCUUGAUUAAAAUUUAUGAGGAAUAAUCAAAGCGCAUAGGACCAAUUAUCACUUCGUCAUUUACCAUAUCCAAUACAAAGCACAUGAAUUGAUUUCAUUAUCACAUAAUCUAAUUCAGCACGUCAAUUUUGACUUUUUAUUUGACUUUUGGAUUUCAAGAUCAGAACUCCAAGGCUUAAAUCAGGCGAUUCAAUAGCAAAAUAAACAUUCAAGAGCAAACAAGCAGCACAAAUCAAAACUUUCUUAUUCAGAUUUUCAAAAAUCAAGAGCAUAAAUCGGAACAUUUAAUAGCAAAAAUCGGAGCAUUCCCAGAAAUCGGAGCAUUCAAGUGUACCUAUGAGAUGAGGAAGGAGCUUCGAUCGGUGGGUGGAAGAGGACAAAUGGGGUCGACGAUGCUUGCUGGUUGGGGAGAAGAAAGGAGUUGUUGAAAGAGGAUUCAUCAGGAAGCGCUAGAAGAGAUACAUUAGGGAAGGGUAUUAUUGGAACCUUUCUCAGUCAGCCCAAUUUUCACUUCUUUCCCAUUCAGAUAUUCCUUUGCGAGUCAGAUGCACAAAACUUGAUUAUCAAACACUUAUAGCCGACCGAGUCAGCCAAAAAGGUCUUACUCGACUCGGCCAAAAAGGUAUGACUCGACUCGUAUGAAGGCUUAAUGUGCAUGAUGUCUCAUGUGAAGAAAUUUGGUCCUAAAACAUAACUUAUUUAUUUGCAGCCUAUUGGUUUUAGGAUUUAACAUGUUUUAGGUUUUGUAUAGCCCUGAAAGUGUAUGUAAGACUCAAUGUUGAGCAAGGCAUGUAGAUGUUAUGAGUAAUAAGGGACAAUAUAUAGAUGAGAAAUUAAAU